GCCGGCCCGGCUCCGGAGAAAUGGCGCUUGAGAAAGGAGGGGAGGGGAAGGUUCCCGGACCCUGGGCAGGGACCCGUCGCCGGGGACCCGCGGAGCCCUCCGGGGAUGGAGGAGGCGCGAGCUGGAAGCGGCGCGCGAGCCCGAGCGCGGGGCUAACACCGUGGGGCCCAGUCUCUCCUGGCUCGGGUAAGUGGACGCGCCCCGAGGCCCCGGGUCCACGCAGGGCGCCCCUCGCAGACGGCGCAUUUCCUACUCUCCUAAGGAACCGAGUUCCCAUCACUGCCUCCGAUGAGCCUGUUUCCGGAUCAGGAACCUUUUUCAAGUUAAUUUUUAAAGCCUCAUUUGAAUUUUUUAAUAUAGGAAAAUACGUAUACGAGAAAAAUCUUGGAUGCAACAAAAAGAACACCGUGGCCACCCGUGGUGUCCCAGAAGUUGCUCUGAGCUCCUCGCAUCAGGGCAGAGGAACAUGGUGUGGGGAUCUGCAGACUUGCCUUCCACUGGGGAGAGGGCCAGCGAGGGGACAGAGGGGGAGGAAAGGAGAGGGGAUAAUAGACCCGAGGUCAGUGUUGAUGCUGGAGGGCCCAGGUCUCUGAAGUUCCUGCAGCUUUGCAGGUGAGCGGGCUGCAAGUGAGGCUAGGCCUGUGGACACCCAGUGGGGCCUGGAACAGUGCCAGGAGUGGCCUUGAACCCCACCUUGAUCCCUCUCCAGCAGGAUCUGGAGUCACUUCCAUGGGCCUGGCAUACACCACUCCAGAUUUGCCCUCUGGCCUGGGGAGCAGAUAACCCCCCGCCCCACAUAACCAGCUGCGCUCCUACACCUAGCAGGCCGGCUCACAUCACCCUUUAACGCACACUAUAUUCACACACACACUUGUGCACAGUCUUGAAUGUGUGCCCACACAUCUGCCUGCACACACUCAUGUGCCCACAUGUGAAUCACUUGGAAGUGUACACAAAACCAAACCCACAGCACAGAUGGGCAGACAGGUGAGCCUCGUGCAGCAUGUGACACUCCCACAUGCACAAGACAUGUGUGCAGAGGCAUAUCACACACGCAGAAGCACUCCCGAGAACUGCCUUCUCCCUUUCAGCCUAGGGGCCCCUGUUCCCCCACAACCGGGCCCAGCCCUGGAGCCCCCUCCAGCACUCCUCUCCCACCCCCACGCUCCCCAAGAGCAGCAGAUGUAGGUCUCCCGGCUCCCAAACCUCUGAGAUGCUGCUCUGUCUGAAAUCAUCAUAUAAAUAAUCAUUUUUUAAUACAAGGGGGUGGGGGUGUCAGGCAAGUUCCAUGAAAUUGUGAAUUAGCCGCUGCUCCAAAUAAAUGCCUGCUUCGGCCCGAGAGCAGCCGCGCUGCGCCCGCUGCGCCCCCAAUAAUCGUGUGUUGGGUAUCUCUCCAUUGUUCCCUGGGCCAUUAGUCAAAGGGCAAAUUAGAAACAAUUUCUUGACGACAAAAAUUGACUCUUAAUUCUUCCCACCAGAGGCGCAGGGGGACAAGUCCAGAGGCCAGGCCUGAGGCUGGGGCUGGCGGCAGGAGGGGUAGGCGGGGUAGAGGUGGGGUAGAGGUGGGGGAUCUAAGAUGGUUCACAGCACAGAGACCUCCCUCAACUGGAGGGCAGCAGCAGCUCACCCCCACCCCAGAAUCAGUGUUCCAGAGGACAGCUGGGGGCAGGGGGUUAGGAACAAUCCCACUCCCUCCUGGAAGAGGUCCUGACCCCCCACCCCACCCAUCUGCCUGUACGGGUCCCUCUGCUAUCGACUGGGGCGAGUUCUUUUCAUGAGGGCCUUGCCUGGUGCCUGGAGGGAACAGGGUGUGGGGGAAAGGUCUGUGUGUUCCCCCCUCACCUCCCCUGCUCAGCGGUGUGGCCUCUGGCUCUGGGGAGGAUCGGGAAGCCCCAGGGUCCGUGCCUUGGAGUGGGGGGACAGCCUUUUCUCUGCCACAGCUUCUGCCUUUGGAGGCUUACCCUUCCUAGGAGCAGAACUGUUGUGGAGGGGAAGAGGACGGCGAAGGUUCCGAAGGGAAGGGGGCUGCCCCCACUGAAAACGAAGCUUCCAGUCACAGCCCCUUCAUUAUUUAUCAGGACCCAGGGGAUGAGGUGGCAGGGGAGGGGGCUGCAUGGAGGGAGUGCCCUCACCCUCGUCCCCAGCGCCUGCCCCCUCCCGACCAGGCCUGGGCUGAGGCCCAGGGUAAGGGGGCUGAGGCAGGCCACAGAGGAGCAAGACUUGUCAGGGGCCAGACCUGGGUAGGAGGAUUGUCCUCCAGGCACACACGGCCCCCAGCCCCCCAGCCUGUCGAACUGGGCUCUCCCAGAAGGUCCCCGGCUCCAGCCCAAGCAGGGAGCCAGGUUGGGGGUGUGGGAAGGCAGAAGUCCCAGGGAUCCUGGGGGAGGCUCAGGUUGUACCUGAAGGCCACAGUCUCCUCGACAGACCUCGGACGAGGUUGUAAGUGUUUUAAAGAAACUAGAGCAGCAGAGAAGAGAGACUCAGAAGCCCGUGGCACGGCUUUCUCGGCGUCCCCUCCAGCGAGGGGGUCUCCAUUGCUGCAGUUGCCGGUUUUGUCCAACCAGGAGGUUGACCCGAAACAGCCCUCCGUCUUCCUGCCCAUGAGGAUGAGGACAGGAAGCCAGACCCGGGAGAGAAAGCCCAGAUCAGACAGAUGGGGGUUGGGAGGGCCUAGUGGCUGAAACUGCCCUGCUUGGGGACAAUGCUCAGGCAGGACCAAUCCAAACGAGGGCACUGCUUAUGUGGUCCUUCCGGAGCAUCCUCCAAGGCAGAGCCUGGCUUCGGGCCCUCCCUGCAAGGACACCUGCCUCCACUCCCUGCCAG
rnacentral:lncRNA from 1 species